rnacentral:rRNA from 1 species
GAUGAACGCUGGCGGCGUGCCUAAUACAUGCAAGUCGAGCGAACAGAUGUGGAGCUUGCUCCUCUGACGUUAGCGGCGGACGGGUGAGUAACACGUGGAUAACCUACCUAUAAGACUGGGAUAACUUCGGGAAACCGGAGCUAAUACCGGAUAAUAUAUUGAACCGCAUGGUUCAAUAGUGAAAGACGGUUUUGCUGUCACUUAUAGAUGGAUCCGCGCCGCAUUAGCUAGUUGGUAAGGUAACGGCUUACCAAGGCAACGAUGCGUAGCCGACCUGAGAGGGUGAUCGGCCACACUGGAACUGAGACACGGUCCAGACUCCUACGGGAGGCAGCAGUAGGGAAUCUUCCGCAAUGGGCGAAAGCCUGACGGAGCAACGCCGCGUGAGUGAUGAAGGUCUUCGGAUCGUAAAACUCUGUUAUUAGGGAAGAACAAAUGUGUAAGUAACUAUGCACGUCUUGACGGUACCUAAUCAGAAAGCCACGGCUAACUACGUG